CCUACGGGGGGCAGCAGUGGGGAAUAUUGGACAAUGGGGGGAACCCUGAUCCAGCCAUGCCGCGUGUGUGAAGAAGGCCCUCGGGUUGUAAAGCACUUUCAGUGAGGAAGAACGCCUGGUGGUUAAUACCCAUCAGGAAAGACAUCACUCACAGAAGAAGCACCGGCUAACUCCGUGCCAGCAGCCGCGGUAAUACGGAGGGUGCGAGCGUUAAUCGGAAUUACUGGGCGUAAAGCGCGCGUAGGUGGCUUGAUAAGCCGGUUGUGAAAGCCCCGGGUUCAACCUGGGAACGGCAUCCGGAACUGUCAAGCUAGAGUGCAGGAGAGGAAGGUAGAAUUCCCGGUGUAGCGGUGAAAUGCGUAGAGAUCGGGAGGAAUACCAGUGGCGAAGGCGGCCUUCUGGACUGACACUGACACUGAGGUGCGAAAGCGUGGGUAGCAAACAGGAUUAGAUACCCGAGUAGUC
rnacentral:rRNA from 1 species